GCGGGUAUAGGUUAAUUGGUAGACCUUUUGACUUCCAAUCAAAUUGCGUCAGUUCGAAUCUGACUACCCGUA